rnacentral:rRNA from 1 species
UACGUAGGGUGCAAGCGUUGUCCGGAAUUAUUGGGCGUAAAGAGCUCGUAGGCGGUCUGUCGCGUCUGCUGUGAAAACUCAGGGCUUAACCCUGAGCUUGCAGUGGGUACGGGCAGACUAGAGUGCGGUAGGGGAGACUGGAAUUCCUGGUGUAGCGGUGAAAUGCGCGGAUAUCAGGAGGAACACCGAUGGCGAAGGCAGGUCUCUGGGCAUUAACUGACGCUGAGGAGCGACAGCAUGGGGAGCGAACAGG